CGUCAAGUGCCGCAAGGAGUCUUGUCCAAAUUGAAAAGGCCGUGACAGUCAUGUGGGCUUAGUAGGCAUGCUGCGUGGGCGCUUGACGUCGAAAUUCAAAUCAGAAGUGGGGCAUUUCCCCUCUUUUUGGACCCAAGGCUAGCUUCGUGGGCUGAUCUGGGCGGAAGACAUUGUUAGGUGGGGACUUUGCCUGGGGCGUCACAUCUGUUAAAAGAUAACGCUGGUUCCUAAGAUGAGCUCCGUGAGAACAGAAAUCUCUUGUGGAACAGAAGGGUAAAAGCUCAUUUGAUUUUGAUUUCCAGUACGAAUACGAACUGUGAAAGAGUGGCCUAACGAUUCGAUGACGGCUCUUCCUACCAUUGUGAAGCAGAAUUCAACAAAUGUUGGAUUGUUCACCCACCAAUAGGGAACGUGAGCGGGGUUUAGACCGUCGUGAUACAGGUUAGUUUUACCCUACAGAUGACAGUGUCGCAAUAGUAAUUCAACCUAGUACGAGAGGAAAUGUUGAUUCACACAAUUGGCCAUCACGCUUGGUUGAAAAGCCAGUGGCGUGAAGCUACCGUGUGCUGGAUUAUGACUAAACUCCUCUAAGUCAGAAUCCGGGAUAGAAGCUACGCAUUCGCCUGUUGUCCGCUUGCCGACCCCCAAUAGGGGCCUAUUGCCCCCAAGGGCACAUGUCGUUGGCUAAAUCGCCGUGACAUAAGCAUCGCGGUGACCGCCUUGAAGUACAAUUUCCAUCGAGCGGCAGGUACAAUCCUUUGCAUACUACUUUAAUACGCGAUGGGGUAUUAUAAGUGGCAGAGUGGCCUUGCUGCCAUGAUCCACUAAGAUUCAGCCCUUUGUCGUUCCGAUUC
rnacentral:rRNA from 1 species